rnacentral:rRNA from 1 species
AUCCGUAGGGGGCGAGCGUUGUCCGGAAUGAUUGGGCGUAAAGGGCGCGUAGGCGGCCCGGUAAGUCUGGAGUGAAAGUCCUGUUUUUAAGAUGGGAAUUGCUUUGGAUACUGUCGGGCUUGAGUGCAGGAGAGGUAAGUGGAAUUCCCAGUGUAGCGGUGAAAUGCGUAGAGAUUGGGAGGAACACCAGUGGCGAAGGCGACUUACUGGACUGUAACUGACGCUGAGGCGCGAAAGUGUGGGGAGCAAACAGGAUUAGAUACCCUGGUAGUCCACACUGUAAACGAUGAAUGCUAGGUGUAGGGGGUAUCGACCCCUUCUGUGCCGCAGUCAACACAAUAAGCAUUCCGCCUGGGGAGUACGGCCGCAAGGUUGAAACUCAAAGGAAUUGGCGGGG